rnacentral:rRNA from 1 species
UGGAUCCAGACUUUGAUCCUGGCUCAGGAUGAACGCUGGCGGCGUGCCUAAUACAUGCAAGUCGAACGAAACUUCUUUAUCACCGAGUGCUUGCACUCACCGAUAAAGAGUUGAGUGGCGAACGGGUGAGUAACACGUGGGCAACCUGCCCGAAAGGGGGGGAUAACACUUGGAAACAGGUGCUAAUACCGCAUAACCAUGAAUACCGCAUGGUAUUUAUGUGAAAGGUGGUUUCGGCUACCGCUUUCGGAUGGGCCCGCGGCGCAUUAGCUAGUUGGUGGGGUAAAGGCUUACCAAGGCAAUGAUGCGUAGCCGAACUGAGAGGUUGAUCAGCCACAUUGGGACUGAGACACGGCCCAAACUCCUACGGGAGGCAGCAGUAGGGAAUCUUCCACAAUGGGCGAAAGCCUGAUGGAGCAACGCCGCGUGGGUGAAGAAGGUCUUCGGAUCGUAAAACCCUGUUGUCAGAGGAGAAAGUGCAUGAGAGUAACUGUUCAUGUUUCGACGGUAUCUGACCAGAAAGCCACGGCUAACUACGUGCCAGCAGCCGCGGUAAUACGUAGGUGGCAAGCGUUAUCCGGAUUUAUUGGGCGUAACGGGAACGCAGGCGGUCUUUUAAGUCUGAUGUGAAAGCCUUCGGCUUAACCGGAGUAGUGCAUUGGAAACUGGGAGACUUGAGUGCAGAAGAGGAGAGUGGAACUCCAUGUGUAGCGGUGAAAUGCGUAGAUAUAUGGAAGAACACCAGUGGCGAAAGCGGCUCUCUGGUCUGUAACUGACGCUGAGGUUCGAAAGCGUGGGUAGCAAACAGGAUUAGAUACCCUGGUAGUCCACGCCGUAAACGAUGAAUGCUAAGUGUUGGAGGGUUUCCGCCCUUCAGUGCUGCAGUUAACACAAUAAGCAUUCCGCCUGGGGAGUACGACCGCAAGGUUGCAACUCAAAUGAAUUGACGGA